AAGGCUUAAACUUAUGAGCAAGGAAAAUAGCGAUUCGGGGUGACUCUCAAAUCCUCACUGCUAAUGUGAGACAAAGUUUUGAGCAGGUAAAUGUUGCCCCUAAGGUGACCACGCGCCUACUUUGCGGGAUGCCUGGGAGUCACGAUCUGCCCG
rnacentral:snRNA from 1 species